CACGUAGGGUGCGAGCGUUGUCCGGAAUUAUUGGGCGUAAAGAGCUCGUAGGCGGUGUGUCGCGUCGGCCGUGAAAACCUGCAGCUUAACUGUGGGCUUGCGGUCGAUACGGGCAUCACUGGAGUUCGGCAGGGGAGACUGGAAUUCCUGGUGAUAGCGGUGAAAUGCGCAGAUAUCAGGAAGAACACCCGUGGCGAAGGCGGCUCUCUGGAACGCAACUGACGCUGAGACGCGAAAGCGUGGGGAGCAAACAGG
rnacentral:rRNA from 1 species